rnacentral:lncRNA from 1 species
CAUUUCUUCGUUUUUUCACACAAUUUCUUCUUCACAAAAGAAGAAAUUUUCUUGGCCUUCCCUUUUUUUUUUUUUCAUGCUGACAGACUCUUUUAUCAUAUUCUAGGUUAAAUUAUUCUGCUAAUAUUAAGAGUAUUCACUUGACUGUUCUUGACCUUCUUGCUGACAUGGGCUUUGCUUUGCAAUCUAAUGAAAAGGACCUGAAGAACAUUCAUGAAAAAAUGACCUUUAAAUACCCAUUCAUUUCAGUUUCUACAGUCUGCGUUGUUGCUCUGAGAGUGCUGAGGAUUGGCAAAGAGCUUCGUGUCAGCAGGCAGAAGAAAACUGAAACAAGGACCAAAGCCUGUCUGUGUGAACACAAAGCUGGCACUGCAAGGGACCCCACUGCUGUCAUUGCUUCUGAGAGCCAGAAUCCCUGAAGCCUUAGUCACCCUUCAGCAAGAAAAUGCUCUCCUAACCCUGUUGGGGGCCCUUCAGAUAAUGAUAAAACUGUAAAUGAUAGUAUUGGACUUAGAAGACUCAAAUUAUAGUCAAAUAUUUAGAAUAUUUGAAUGCCUUGCCCCUAAAGAUGCAGUGUUCAGACCACUGGUUUUAUUUUUGGCUGGCUGUUUCAAAUGGGAUUGAAAUUUGGAGUUAUAGUUUGUCUGUAGUUGGCAUAAAGUGUUUGUGUUGUCUUCAAUUUCUCCCCUUUAAAAUCGCUUAAUUUUAAUUCUUGCACUCGUUUUGAACAUAAAUGAGCAUUAUUUUUAGAGACAAUUUGACUUCAUCCAUAAUGAAUUUAUGGAGUCAUUAUUGCAGCCCAUAAGUCUGUGGUUGCUUCUCAGCAAUUUCCAGAUUUUUAUUUAAACUAUUAAAUAAAUUUGUCCAAGUCAACA